AUGAACGCUAGCUACAGGCUUAACACAUGCAAGUCGAGGGGCAGCAUGGUCUUAGCUUGCUAAGGCCGAUGGCGACCGGCGCACGGGUGAGUAACACGUAUCCAACCUGCCGUCUACUCUUGGACAGCCUUCUGAAAGGAAGAUUAAUACAAGAUGGCAUCAUGAGUCCGCAUGUUCACAUGAUUAAAGGUAUUCCGGUAGACGAUGGGGAUGCGUUCCAUUAGAUAGUAGGCGGGGUAACGGCCCACCUAGUCUUCGAUGGAUAGGGGUUCUGAGAGGAAGGUCCCCCACAUUGGAACUGAGACACGGUCCAAACUCCUACGGGAGGCAGCAGUGAGGAAUAUUGGUCAAUGGGCGAGAGCCUGAACCAGCCAAGUAGCGUGAAGGAUGACUGCCCUAUGGGUUGUAAACUUCUUUUAUAAAGGAAUAAAGUCGGGUAUGCAUACCCGUUUGCAUGUACUUUAUGAAUAAGGAUCGGCUAACUCCGUGCCAGCAGCCGCGGUAAUACGGAGGAUCCGAGCGUUAUCCGGAUUUAUUGGGUUUAAAGGGAGCGUAGAUGGAUGUUUAAGUCAGUUGUGAAAGUUUGCGGCUCAACCGUAAAAUUGCAGUUGAUACUGGAUAUCUUGAGUGCAGUUGAGGCAGGCGAAAUUCGUGGUGUAGCGGUGAAAUGCUUAGAUAUCACGAAGAACUCCGAUUGCGAAGGCAGCCUGCUAAGCUGCAACUGACAUUGAGGCUCGAAAGUGUGGGUAUCAAACAGGAUUAGAUACCCUGGUAGUCCACACGGUAAACGAUGAAUACUCGCUGUUUGCGAUAUACAGCAAGCGGCCAAGCGAAAGCGUUAAGUAUUCCACCUGGGGAGUACGCCGGCAACGGUGAAACUCAAAGGAAUUGACGGGGGCCCGCACAAGCGGAGGAACAUGUGGUUUAAUUCGAUGAUACGCGAGGAACCUUACCCGGGCUUAAAUUGCAGAUGAAUUACGGUGAAAGCCGUAAGCCGCAAGGCAUCUGUGAAGGUGCUGCAUGGUUGUCGUCAGCUCGUGCCGUGAGGUGUCGGCUUAAGUGCCAUAACGAGCGCAACCCUUGUUGUCAGUUACUAACAGGUUCCGCUGAGGACUCUGACAAGACUGCCAUCGUAAGAUGUGAGGAAGGUGGGGAUGACGUCAAAUCAGCACGGCCCUUACGUCCGGGGCUACACACGUGUUACAAUGGGGGGGUACAGAGGGCCGCUACCACGCGAGUGGAUGCCAAUCCCAAAAACCUCUCUCAGUUCGGACUGGAGUCUGCAACCCGACUCCACGAAGCUGGAUUCGCUAGUAAUCGCGCAUCAGCCACGGCGCGGUGAAUACGUUCCCGGGCCUUGUACACACCGCCCGUCAAGCCAUGGGAGCCGGGGGUACCUGAAGUGCGUAACCGCGAGGAGCGCCCUAGGGUAAAACUGGUGACUGGGGCU
rnacentral:rRNA from 1 species